ensembl:miRNA
UAGGCGUGUCACUGCGUGUCACAGUCACUGCUUGCGCACGGGGCCACGCCCUGC